ACAGACAGACUAUUUUAUACUGUUGUAAAUACCUUAUACUGUAAAUCAGUGAUCCAAGAUGAAAAUUUAAUUAUCUUCAGUAGAUUAUACUCCUAACCCAGGACUGUCAAUCCCUAUUGUAUUAUACUGGUACUUCAGUACUAUCAAUCCCUAUUGUAUUAUACUAGUACUUCAGUACAAUCAGUCCCUAUUGUAUUAUACUAGCACUUCAGGACGAUCGGUCCCUAUUGUAUUAUACUAGUACUUCAGUACUAUCAAUCCCUAUUGUAUUAUACUAGUACUUCAGGACGAUCAGUCCCUAUUGUAUUAUACUGGUACUUCAGUACUAUCAAUCCCUAUUGUGUUAUACUAGUACUUCAGUACUAUAAGUCUUUAUUAUAUUAUUCUAGUACUUCAGAACUAUUAGGGUGGUACUGCGAGUGCUCUGUGUGUGAAGGUGCUCACUCUUGUGUGAAAGAGGUUUUGGUACGGCGAAUUCACCAGAAUGUAUCACCGUGGUGGACUUUUGGAAGCGGCACAAAACUGGUGCUGAAAACUGGUCCCUCUGUCAGGCCCACAGUGUCUCUGCUCCCCCCGUCCUCUGAGCAGCUCUCUGGGGGCUCGGCCACACUGGCCUGCCUGCUGAGUGGCUACUCCCCCCAGGGGGCGAUGGUGAGCUGGGAGGUGGACGGAGCAGAGGUGAAGGAGGGGAUCCUGACCACCACAGAAGAAGAGAAGGGUGGCCGCUACAGCCGCAGCAGCACCCUGACCCUAAGCAAGGCAUCCUGGGAAGAGGGAGAGGUGUACACCUGUAGGGUCGCCCAUGAUGACACCAGUGAUGCGGCAGACUUACGUAAAAGUCACUGUAGUGUCUAGAGACCGGAGAAGCCAUUGUAAGGGGUUAGAGAGUCCCCACAUAGUUCUGGAAACAUUAGUAUUUUAGAGCUGAAUGUUACAGUAUAAUAGUGAAUAAUAUCAGUAGUGCUGUAUGAUAAAUGAACUAUUUUGAGACUCAGUUGUUCAUGUCUUCUUGCCUAUGAAUUAAAAUAAAGCUUGUUUUGAUUGAAAACUAA